rnacentral:rRNA from 1 species
UACGAAGGGGGCAAGCGUUGUUCGGAAUUACUGGGCGUAAAGGGCGCGUAGGCGGCUUAUCAAGUCAGGCGUGAAAUUCCCGGGCUCAACCUGGGGGCUGCGCUUGAUACUGCUGAGCUUGAAUGCGGGAGAGGAUGGUGGAAUUCCCAGUGUAGAGGUGAAAUUCGUAGAUAUUGGGAAGAACACCGGUGGCGAAGGCGGCCAUCUGGCCCGUGAUUGACGCUGAGGCGCGAAAGCGUGUGGAGCAAACAGG